rnacentral:rRNA from 1 species
GGGUUGUGAGGUUAAGCGACUAAGCGUACACGGUGGAUGCCCUGGCAGUCAGAGGCGAUGAAGGGCGUGCUAAUCUGCGAUAAGCGCCGGUAAGGUGAUAUGAACCGUUAUAACCGGCGAUACCCGAAUGGGGAAACCCAGUGUGAUUCGUCACACUAUCAUUAACUGAAUCCAUAGGUUAAUGAGGCGAACCGGGGGAACUGAAACAUCUAAGUACCCCGAGGAAAAGAAAUCAACCGAGAUUCCCCCAGUAGCGGCGAGCGAACGGGGAGGAGCCCAGAGCCUGAAUCAGCAUGUGUGUUAGUGGAAGCGUCUGGAAAGGCGCGCGAUACAGGGUGACAGCCCCGUACACAAAAGCGCAUGUGCUGUGAGCUCGAUGAGUAGGGCGGGACACGUGGUAUCCUGUCUGAAUAUGGGGGGACCAUCCUCCAAGGCUAAAUACUCCUGACUGACCGAUAGUGAACCAGUACCGUGAGGGAAAGGCGAAAAGAACCCCGGCGAGGGGAGUGAAAAAGAACCUGAAACCGUGUACGUACAAGCAGUGGGAGCNNNNNNNNNNNNNNNNNNNNNNNNNNNNNNNNNNNNNNNNNNNNGGGCGUUAAGUUGCAGGGUAUAGACCCGAAACCCGGUGAUCUAGCCAUGGGCAGGUUGAAGGUUGGGUAACACUAACUGGAGGACCGAACCGACUAAUGUUGAAAAAUUAGCGGAUGACCUGUGGCUGGGGGUGAAAGGCCAAUCAAACCGGGAGAUAGCUGGUUCUCCCCGAAAGCUAUUUAGGUAGCGCCUCGUGAAUUCAUCUCCGGGGGUAGAGCACUGUUUCGGCUAGGGGGCCAUCCCGGCUUACCAACCCGAUGCAAACUGCGAAUACCGGAGAAUGUUAUCACGGGAGACACACGGCGGGUGCUAACGUCCGUCGUGAAGAGGGAAACAACCCAGACCGCCAGCUAAGGUCCCAAAGUCAUGGUUAAGUGGGAAACGAUGUGGGAAGGCCCAGACAGCCAGGAUGUUGGCUUAGAAGCAGCCAUCAUUUAAAGAAAGCGUAAUAGCUCACUGGUCGAGUCGGCCUGCGCGGAAGAUGUAACGGGGCUAAACCAUGCACCGAAGCUGCGGCAGCGACACUGUGUGUUGUUGGGUAGGGGAGCGUUCUGUAAGCCUGUGAAGGUGUGUCGUGAGGCAUGCUGGAGGUAUCAGAAGUGCGAAUGCUGACAUAAGUAACGAUAAAGCGGGUGAAAAGCCCGCUCGCCGGAAGACCAAGGGUUCCUGUCCAACGUUAAUCGGGGCAGGGUGAGUCGACCCCUAAGGCGAGGCCGAAAGGCGUAGUCGAUGGGAAACGGGUUAAUAUUCCCGUACUUGGUGUUACUGCGAAGGGGGGACGGAGAAGGCUAUGUUGGCCGGGCGACGGUUGUCCCGGUUUAAGCGUGUAGGUGUGUGUUCCAGGUAAAUCCGGUUCACUUUAACACUGAGGCGUGACGACGAGGCACUACGGUGCUGAAGCAACAAAUGCCCUGCUUCCAGGAAAAGCCUCUAAGCAUCAGGUAACAUCAAAUCGUACCCCAAACCGACACAGGUGGUCAGGUAGAGAAUACCAAGGCGCUUGAGAGAACUCGGGUGAAGGAACUAGGCAAAAUGGUGCCGUAACUUCGGGAGAAGGCACGCUGACACGUAGGUGAAGUGAUUUACUCAUGGAGCUGAAGUCAGUCGAAGAUACCAGCUGGCUGCAACUGUUUAUUAAAAACACAGCACUGUGCAAACACGAAAGUGGACGUAUACGGUGUGACGCCUGCCCGGUGCCGGAAGGUUAAUUGAUGGGGUCAGCGCAAGCGAAGCUCCUGAUCGAAGCCCCGGUAAACGGCGGCCGUAACUAUAACGGUCCUAAGGUAGCGAAAUUCCUUGUCGGGUAAGUUCCGACCUGCACGAAUGGCGUAAUGAUGGCCAGGCUGUCUCCACCCGAGACUCAGUGAAAUUGAACUCGCUGUGAAGAUGCAGUGUACCCGCGGCAAGACGGAAAGACCCCGUGAACCUUUACUAUAGCUUGACACUGAACAUUGAGCCUUGAUGUGUAGGAUAGGUGGGAGGCUUUGAAGUGUGGACGCCAGUCUGCAUGGAGCCGACCUUGAAAUACCACCCUUUAAUGUUUGAUGUUCUAACGUGGACCCGUUACCCGGGUUGCGGACAGUGUCUGGUGGGUAGUUUGACUGGGGCGGUCUCCUCCUAAAGAGUAACGGAGGAGCACGAAGGUUGGCUAAUCCUGGUCGGACAUCAGGAGGUUAGUGCAAUGGCAUAAGCCAGCUUGACUGCGAGCGUGACGGCGCGAGCAGGUGCGAAAGCAGGUCAUAGUGAUCCGGUGGUUCUGAAUGGAAGGGCCAUCGCUCAACGGAUAAAAGGUACUCCGGGGAUAACAGGCUGAUACCGCCCAAGAGUUCAUAUCGACGGCGGUGUUUGGCACCUCGAUGUCGGCUCAUCACAUCCUGGGGCUGAAGUAGGUCCCAAGGGUAUGGCUGUUCGCCAUUUAAAGUGGUACGCGAGCUGGGUUUAGAACGUCGUGAGACAGUUCGGUCCCUAUCUGCCGUGGGCGCUGGAGAACUGAGGGGGGCUGCUCCUAGUACGAGAGGACCGGAGUGGACGCAUCACUGGUGUUCGGGUUGUCAUGCCAAUGGCACUGCCCGGUAGCUAAAUGCGGAAGAGAUAAGUGCUGAAAGCAUCUAAGCACGAAACUUGCCCCGAGAUGAGUUCUCCCUGAGACUUAGAGUCUCCUGAAGGAACGUUGAAGACGACGACGUUGAUAGGCCGGGUGUGUAAGCGCAGCGAUGCGUUGAGCUAACCGGUACUAAUGAACCGUGAGGCUUAACCUUACAACGCCGAAG